rnacentral:rRNA from 1 species
GCCCUAGUAACGGCGAGUGAAGCGGCAACAGCUCAAAUUUGAAAUCUGGCUCUUUUAGAGUCCGAGUUGUAAUUUGCAGAGGGCGCUUUGGCUUUGGCAGCGGUCCAAGUUCCUUGGAACAGGACGUCACAGAGGGUGAGAAUCCCGUACGUGGUCGCUGGCUAUUGCCGUGUAAAGCCCCUUCGACGAGUCGAGUUGUUUGGGAAUGCAGCUCUAAAUGGGAGGUACAUUUCUUCUAAAGCUAAAUAUUGGCCAGAGACCGAUAGCGCACAAGUAGAGUGAUCGAAAGAUGAAAAGCACUUUGGAAAGAGAGUCAAACAGCACGUGAAAUUGUUGAAAGGGAAGCGCUUGCAGCCAGACUUGCUUACAGUUGCUCAUCCGGGUUUCUACCCGGUGCACUCUUCUGUAGGCAGGCCAGCAUCAGUUUGGGCGGUAGGAUAAAGGUCUCUGUCACGUACCUCCUUUCGGGGAGGCCUUAUAGGGGAGACGACAUACUACCAGCCUGGACUGAGGUCCGCGCAUCUGCUAGGAUGCUGGCGUAAUGGCUGUAAGCGGCCCGUCUUGAAACACGGACCAAGGAGUCUAACAUCUAUGCGAGUGUUUGGGUGUCAAGCCCGAGCGCGUAAUGAAAGUGAACGGAGGUGGGAACCCGCAAGGGUGCACCAUCGACCGAUCCUGAUGUCUUCGGAAGGAUUUGAGUAAGAGCAUGGCUGUUGGGACCCGAAAGAUGGUGAACUAUGCUUGAAUAGGGUGAAGCCAGAGGAAACUCUGGUGGAGGCUCGCAGCGGUUCUGACGUGCAAAUCGAUCG